UACAGAGGGUGCGAGCGUUAAUCGGAAUUACUGGGCGUAAAGCGUGCGUAGACGGCUAUCUAAGUCGGGUGUGAAAACCCCGGGCUCAACCUGGGAAUUGCAUUCGAGACUGAAUAGCUAGGGUACGGUAGAGGGAAGCGGAAUUUCCGGUGUAGCGGUGAAAUGCGUAGAUAUCGUGAGGAAGACCAGUUGCGAAGGCGACUCUCUGGGCAAUUCCUGACACUGAGGCACGAAGGCUAGGGGAGCAAACGGG
rnacentral:rRNA from 1 species